GACGAACGCUGGCGGCGUGCUUAACACAUGCAAGUCGAACGGAAAGGCCCUGCUUUUUUGGGGUGCUCGAGUGGCGAACGGGUGAGUAACACGUGAGUAACCUGCCCUUGACUUUGGGAUAACUUCAGGAAACUGGGGCUAAUACCGGAUAGGAGCUCCUGCUGCAUGGUGGGGGUUGGAAAGUUUCGGCGGUUGGGGAUGGACUCGCGGCUUAUCAGCUUGUUGGUGGGGUAGUGGCUUACCAAGGCUUUGACGGGUAGCCGGCCUGAGAGGGUGACCGGCGACAUUGGGACUAAGAUACGGCGCAGAGUCCUACAGGAGGCAGCAGUGGGGAAUAUGGCACAAUGGGCGGAAGCCUGAUGCAGCGACGCCGCGGGCGGGAUGACCGCCUUCGGGUUGUGAACCGCUUUCGCCUGUGACGAAGCGUGAGUGACGGUAAUGGGUAAAGAAGCACCGGCUAACUACGUG
rnacentral:rRNA from 1 species